GGAACACCUGUGAAAAACGCGCACAUGGAUCUGUGAGACAAACAUACAUGACAACAGAGGAAAACAGGCACACAGCAAACCGUGUUCCUAAAGGUUGUUAAAAAAAUCAACGGUGGUCUGCACAUGGUCAUAAUCUUCUUCAUUUUUUUCGCAAUUGGCUUUGCAGUGCUCAGUUUAGCCUUCUGUAUAUAUAAUGCCAGAAAAGUUCCUUAUCAAUCGAUCAGAGGACCAUUUGGCCUCUACAUCUGGAAUUUUAUUGCAGCUCUGUUCAGUGCAAUGGGCUUUGCAUGUUUCCUCGCAGCAGUUCAGUGCCAUGAUCUCACAGAACACGUGGCUAACUACAAAGAAAGUCUUUUUCGACUUGUGAUCCUCGAGGAAAGUCUCGGCUUUUCUUUCUGGUUGUGCGUUGCCAGUGCUGUUACACACGGAGCAAAUAUUCUUGUAGUAGCCUGCAGUAGACUUCAUCUACCUAAAAUCAAGACAAAGAAACCAGAAGAACCCACAGCGACAGGAGAUGAUUUCCUUUACUAAGGAACAGAGACAAACUGAAAGUUCUGACUGUUGUGGUCUUCGAGGAAGCUGCUUGAAAGCCAAACAGAAUGUUGGUGCAUUGACAUCAACUGAAUAUGAGAUGAUUUUUAUGGGUUUGACUCGUGGAUGAUUCUUAAAGACCAUUAUGUGGCAAAUAAGUAAUCGACUUGUUUAGGACAUAACAAGUUGUCACAGACUUCCAGGGCUUCCAAAACAUAAUGAGACAUUGUAACUAUUUUUUUUAAAAAAAUGAAUCAUGUAAAGUUAAAUAAUAUUGUUAUUUAACCCUUAUGUGGUGUUCGGGUCUGUGGGAUACGCUUUUAAAGUUUACUAAAACAAAAAUGAUGCAAUUAAUUGUUUUAUCAACCUCAGAUUCUUGGCCUUGGCUCAUUUUCUAUGAACAACAUAAAAAUAAACAACUUUACAAUGACUGUA